rnacentral:rRNA from 1 species
UACAGAGGUCCCAAGCGUUGUUCGGAUUCACUGGGCGUAAAGGGCGCGUAGGCGGUGAAUCGGGUUGAAAGUGAAAGUCGCCAAAAAGUGGCGGAAUGCUCUCGAAACCAAUUCACUUGAGUGAGACAGAGGAGAGUGGAAUUUCGUGUGUAGGGGUGAAAUCCGUAAAUAUACGAAGGAACGCCAAAAGCGAAGGCAGCUCUCUGGGUCCCUACCGACGCUGGGGUGCGAAAGCAUGGGGAGCGAACAGG